UGAAGAAAGCUCGACAGCAAUCUGUGCAGUGCGCAAUGCUUUUCCAGCUCCAGCAAUAAAAAUUCACGUUGGCAAAGGCUUGCUAGCUGAUGUUCAACAAACUGAUUCAUUUAAUAAAUCUUCUAAUAUGUUUACAAGUCAAGCAAAGGUGAUAAAGACUAAUAAAACGUGGAAUGGAAAAGAAAUGUGUUGCACAAGGCAAAGCAACGAUUAUUUUGGUUUUGAAGAUGUGUCAAUAUGCCAAAAUAUCAGUAUGAAAUAUCCGCCCUCGGACCUUUCCAUAUCCGGAAACAAAAUACACGAGUAUAAAAACAAUGUUUCUGUGUGUUUCUUAGUAAUGUCUUGUGAAACCAAUGAAUCAAAUCCGCCUUGCGCAAUUGAAUGGUCAAGCGACAACGAUAAUAUGACAUACGCUCAUAGCAACAACUGGACGAAUGUUGUAAAUGGGAGUUACCGUUCUUUAUCCGAAGUGCUUUACACUGUCACUGAAGACAUGACUGGGGGAACAAUUACUUGUGCAACAAAAUGUGACCAUUUUCCAUCGUAUUUAAAAAAAGACCAUAAAAUAGACUUUUCAAAUUGUCCAACUCUAGCUUUGAACACUACAUCGCCUGUUGAUUUAUGUCCGAAUAAUACAUUGACCGUGAAAUGUGUAAUGAAUUUCUACAAAGCUUUAGAGCAAUGGACGCUUAUCUGGG